UUUUCGAAUUUACGUGCAAAAAACUUAUUUCACUUCCUAUUUCUCCGCUUGAGAAUUCAAUCUUGUAGCUCUCUCUUAAAUGGCCGAUGAAGGGUUAGCUCCUCACAGAAAGAGACCCCAUCAAGUCUUCAGUUGGCAAUGUUGCGGCACAGAGGAGAAGGCAAAAUGCUGUUACUGUGGGAAAAGAAAGAAGCGAGUUAUUGGUGCGCGCGAAGCGCCUGUGCAGAGUGGGGACUAGUGGUUAUAGCGAAGUAUCAGUUAAUAAUGAUAUGAUGAUUGAUGAAGAACAAUCGAUUUUAGAGACACAAACUGCUGCUGCUGUGGAGGAUUUGAAAUCUGCUGUUGCUUAUCAGUAUGUCAAUCAUGCAUUUCCAUGUAUAAAAUAAGUGGGGAGAUAGUUAUAAAUGCAAAUAUUUCUUUAGUGCUUAAUCUUGGCUGUGUAAGACUGCAUAUACAGUUUGAUUUCGUUGUCUGAAUUGGGAGUAGAUUUCGCUUGAUUAUUAUAUUUGUGGUAGUUUUGUUUG